rnacentral:rRNA from 2 species
UACGUAGGGUGCGAGCGUUGUCCGGAAUUAUUGGGCGUAAAGGGCUCGUAGGCGGUUUGUCGCGUCGGGAGUGAAAAUCCAGGGCUUAACUCUGGACUGGCUUUCGAUACGGGCAGACUAGAGGUAUGCAGGGGAGAACGGAAUUCCUGGUGUAGCGGUGAAAUGCGCAGAUAUCAGGAGGAACACCGGUGGCGAAGGCGGUUCUCUGGGCAUUACCUGACGCUGAGGAGCGAAAGUGUGGGGAGCGAACAGG